UUCUCGCAGACCCCAUUUUGCUAAAAUGAAAGGACCUCUCUGUCUCUCACAUUUUUCUCUCCUUUCCUCAAUUUAGCUCUGCUCUCUCUAGAAAGUCUGAAAAUGCUUUUACUCUCUCCAUGUCAAAGCAAGUCCUUCUUCCUCCCUUUGCAGUUUCCUCGCAGAUUGAUGCAUCCGUAGCCUUCCAUAACCCAACAACAACGCACCUCCGUGAGUACCCCGCCGUGAUGGAAAAUCGGAAAAAACGGAAACCCAAAGUGUGGAGAGCCCUAAUGGUUUCAAAUCCGAGACAACAACACAAGAACACCCCCGGAGUCAGCAGCUCAGCUCAACCAAGGAUCUAAAAAUGUUGAGCAUACACCCGUGAGAAAACAAGCUUAAGCUGCCGGUCUAAUAGUCCCAGAAAGCAAAAUCAACAGCAACUGUCGCGGCCUCUGUAUGUCAUAUAGGGGUAUACGGAUCCAUGAUAGAGCCAAGGACACAGAAGUAAACACACAAGAGCAACGGAGGAAAAUAGCACAGGCCGCAUGACCCAGAUCGAUGCAUCUGGGAGGUAAAAUUCGAAUCCCUGCAAGUGUAGUUGUUGUAGAUCUGGUAAUAAUAUCUGUACUCAGUUCUGUGGUGUAUGGAUCUGUGAUUUAAUUGUGCUUCCUCCAUGCAUCGCAAAACUGAGCUGCAGAAAUUAACUGCUCUAAAUUCUGUUUAUGUGCUGGAUCUGCAACAAUCACCCCCAAACUUGCAUAUGUGAAUGGCUUUUUAUGUGGACUGCUUUCAAUUUCCAGCAUAGUGUAGAUGUGGUUGAUGUGAACGAUAGACUUGCUGCUGGGUGCAGGAUUCCAGCAUAGGACGCGUUUUAUUUUCCACGUUCGCAACCUGCAAUUAACCAAUAUGCGU